AGAGUUUGAUCCUGGCUCAGAAUGAACGCUGGCGGCGUGCUUAACACAUGCAAGUCGAACGAGAAAGUCUUUGCUUGCAAAGACGAGUAGAGUGGCGCACGGGUGAGUAACACGUAGAUAAUCUACCUUCAAGCCCGGAAUAACUGUUCGAAAAAAUGUCUAAAAUACCGGAUAAAGUUGAUUGACAUAAGUCGUUCAAUGAAAGAUUGCCUCUUCUUGAAAGCAAUUGAUUGGAGACGAGUCUGCGGACCAUUAGCUUGUUGGUGGGGUAACGGCCUACCAAGGCUGCGAUGGUUAGCUGGUCUGAGAGGAUGAUCAGCCACACUGGAACUGGUACACGGUCCAGACUCCUACGGGAGGCAGCAGUGAGGAAUUUUGCGCAAUGGGGGAAACCCUGACGCAGCAACGCCGCGUGAGUGAAGAAGGCCUUUGGGUCGUAAAGCUCUGUCGACAGGAAGAAAAUGCUUUGUAUUAAUAGUGCAUUGUAUUGACGGUACCUGUAGAGGAAGCACCGGCUAACUCCGUGCCAGCAGCCGCGGUAAUACAAAGGGUGCGAACGUUGAUCGGAAUUAUUGGGCGUAAAGAGUGUGUAGGUGGCCUUCUAAGCCAGGUGUGAAAGCCCUGGGCUCAACCCAGGAAGUGCAUUUGAAACUGCCAUUCUUGAGUAUGACAGAGGAGAGUGGAAUUCCCAGUGUAGAGGUGAAAUUCGUAGAUAUUGGGAGGAACACCCGUGGCGAAGGCGACUCUCUGGAUCAAUACUGACGCUGAGACGCGAAAGCGUGGGGAGCAAACAGGAUUAGAUACCCUGGUAGUCCACGCCGUAAACGAUGAGAACUAGGUGUUGCGGGUAUCGACCCCUGCACUGCCAAAGCUAACGCAUUAAGUUCUCCGCCUGGGGAGUACGGUCGCAAGAUUAAAACUCAAAGGAAUUGACGGGGGCCCGCACAAGCGGUGGAGUAUGUGGUUUAAUUCGAUGCAACGCGAAGAACCUUACCUGGAUUUGACAUCCUCGGAACUCCUUGGAAACAAGGUUUUUCCGGCUUGCCGGAACAGAGUGACAGGUGCUGCAUGGCUGUCGUCAGCUCGUGUCGUGAGAUGUUGGGUUAAGUCCCGCAACGAGCGCAACCCUUGUCUUUAGUUGCCAGUAUUAAGUUAGGAACUCUAAAGAGACUGCCUCGGUUAACGGGGAGGAAGGUGGGGAUGACGUCAAGUCCUCAUGGCCUUUAUACCCAGGGCUACACACGUGCUACAAUGGUAAGUACAGCCGGUUGCUAUUCUGCGAGGAAGCGCUAAUCCCAAAAAGCAGCUCUCAGUUCAGAUUGGAGUCUGCAACUCGACUCCAUGAAGGUGGAAUCGCUAGUAAUCGUGGAUCAGCACGCCACGGUGAAUACGUUCCCGGGCCUUGUACACACCGCCCGUCACACCACGAAAGUCGACUGUACCAGAAGUUGCUGGGCUAACCCCGUAAGGGGAGGCAGGUACCUAAGGUACGGCCGGUAAUUGGGGUGAAGUCGUAACAAGGUA
rnacentral:rRNA from 1 species